rnacentral:rRNA from 1 species
CAGCCGCCGCGGGAAUACGAAGGGUGCAAGCGUUAAUCGGAAUUACUGGGCGUAAAGCGUGCGUAGGCGGUGAGUUAAGUCUGCUGUGAAAUCCCCGGGCUCAACCUGGGAAUGGCAGUGGAUACUGGCUCGCUAGAGUGUGUCAGAGGAUGGUGGAAUUCCCGGUGUAGCGGUGAAAUGCGUAGAGAUCGGGAGGAACAUCAGUGGCGAAGGCGGCCAUCUGGGACAACACUGACGCUCAUGCACGAAAGCGUGGGGAGCAAACAGGAUUAGAUACCCCGGUAGUCCCUGUCUCUUAUAC